rnacentral:rRNA from 1 species
CCCUUAGAUGUCCUGGGCCGCACGCGCGUUACACUGAUGCAUUCAACGAGCUUAUAACCUUGGCCGAGAGGCCUGGGCAAUCUUGUUAACGUGCAUCGCGAUAGGGAUAGAUUAUUGAAAUUAUUAAUCUUGAACGAGGAAUUCCUAGUAAACGCAGAUCAUCAAUCUGCAUUGAUUACGUCCCUGCCCUUUGUACACACCGCCCGUCGCACCUACCGAUUGGAUGGUCCGGUGAAGCCUCGGGAUUGUGGUUCUUGCCGCUUUAUUGUGGCGUGACCGCGAGAACUUGUCUAAACCUUAUCAUCUAGAGGAAGGUGAAGUCGUAACA